CUUCCUCCAUCAUUCCUAAGUUCCCAGCACAUGGGAAGAGACGAGAUGCAAGAUGCUCGGACAUGUGCGUGACAAAAAUCUUCAUUCCUGCUGCCUUGAACAUUUUAAGUUGUUCCAUGAUAUAAUCUUC